rnacentral:piRNA from 1 species
UGCCAAAGUAGGGACAUUCUAGUGAUUGU